rnacentral:rRNA from 1 species
AUGCAAGAAAAGAACAAGUCUCUGGAGGCCUCUAAACCUGAGGAGAGGAGGGUUGCUGCUGUAGUAGCUUUUGAGGGUCUCCAGCUCUUGGAGAGGAACAAGAUUGAGGAUGAUGCUCCAGCGUGUUCCACAACGUCGAGGCCAACGCCAACGACAGUGGCGCCUCAAGGAGGAGGCAAGGCGGGUACAAUGGCGUCAGAGGCAACGGCAGGUACCAGGAGCGCCAGGACGGAUACAACGAGACGAGGAGUGCAGGGAUGCCUGCCGACAAUGGUGACCGCCGGGAGCAAGGCGGGUUCAAAUCUAGUAGUAACAAAUUAUAAGAUGCACAGAUGGACUAGUUGUAUGUAUAGCUGUAGAUGGAGGAGCAGAUGA